AACCUUACAGCAACGUGCCUGCUCCCGUAUACUACACACAGAACUCAAAAAUCAUCUAGACAAUGGAGAGAAGGACAUGUUUUUGUGGCUGCCCAAG